UUCGGGAUCGUGGUUUGAAGAGAAACCUAUGACAAAAAAUCUAGAGAGUAACGUCCCUGCUAAAUUAAUAACUGCAGGUUUCAAGCUUUAGAGUUCCCAGUGUAGACAUAUUUUUUUGGCAAACAAACAUUUUAAAAUAUUUAUAGUGGAAAAAAAACUUUAAAUCUGAAGAACAUCUUGACUCUUAAUCCCACAGCGCAAUCUGUAUAAGUUAAAAAAAAUAAAAAGGUUUGUAACAAAAAUAACAAAAAGACAUGUACACGAUAAAUGGUGAAAAGGCAGGGGUUAAAAAAUCUACUAGCCCGACGCCCGGGACUAGAUCAUUUACGCCUCGGGCAAUUAAAAUGUGUAAUCCGAUAUGCCCGACGGACUAGUAACAAAAAAUUCUUGACGUUUCCAAAAUAGAAAGUGAAAAAUCCCUUCAUCACUAUUCUAUGCUAGCCAUUUCGAUUCAAUUAAGUCAUCCGGGAUUCCAAGAAUUUGAACUGGUUUGUACAGGUCCUGUUGUACAUAUUUAAAAAAAAGAACAAAUAACUCUGGCAUGUCUUGGUGGCCUGGUAUCAUGUGUUGAUUGCAAUUCUCGUACUUUAAAUAUCGAUUUCUUAUACCAUGGCUUGGGGUAUUGUACAUUGCUUAUCGUGCCGAGAUUUUCAAUUAACGGUAUUUGGGGGUAUGAUGUAUUGAUUGGUAUUGACCUGUCUUGUUGCACAGCUCUUGAGCACGAAACCAUGCCACAAAAUAUUUCUUAAAAUUUUAGUACGAGAACCCCAGGAACUUCGUCAGUUUCAAAACGAAAAACGGUAGAUGAAGGGAGUAACGAGGCUGAAAAUUCAUCCUCCAAAAAUGCUAAAUACGACAGGGAAAAUAGUGUCCAGGACAGCCGUCUUUAGCGAGAGACUCACAUAUGUUCAUGCUUAUUUGGCGCCAUUUUCCUUUGAUAUUUUGUUUUUUCUCUUUGAUCUUUACAAUUUGGCCAAAAAAUCACGCAUUCACUUCCUGAAAAGUUGGCCGAACUGGGACACAAUGAUUCCCCUGGCAAGGUUGGCUGUUGCUGAUGAAAAAAAAAACAGACAAUGCUCUGUGAAUAUUGCCGUUAGUUGCCCCAAGCAUGCCAAUAAAAAGUCUGCUUUGAAUGUGGGAACAACUAAGUUAGGUUAAGCACCAAAAGAAUAAAUAACAGAUCGACAAAAAUUAUUAAAUACAGUGUAUAACGUCUCCUUCAAAACAAAG
rnacentral:lncRNA from 1 species